UUAAGAAUCAGACAAGGGUACUAAAAUUGGAACAAUACAGAGAAGAUUAGCGUGGCUCCUAUGCAAGGAUAAGGUGCAGAUUCGUGAAGCAUCCCAUAUACAA